CGCGUGUGCUUUUAAAAUAUUUGUUUUACAAGUCCCACAUCGAGAAACAGUGAAGGGAUGAGCCUGUUCAUAUAGGCUGAUCUCGCAACAGAGCGUGUCCCUUCGGGGACAUCCGAUAAAAUUGGAACGAUACAGAGAAGAUUAGCAUGGCCCCUGCGCAAGGAUGACACGCAUAAAUCGAGAAAUGGUCCAAAUUUUUUUGGGAAUUUUUUGCAUGUUUUUGAUUCCAGGUAGUCUAGCUUUGCUUUCUGGGUCUUUGUUUUUCUUCCUUUCUGUUUGAGUUCUGGGAUUUGUUGAACAAUCAUUGACUCAAAUCAUCCGGUAUUUAUGAACGCACAUGAAAAAUUGAGACAUUGUCCACCACCUGUUUGAUGAAAUGCCUCCGAGACAUUCCUUCAUUGAUUCCAAGUUCACCAGCUGUUUGAUGGAGUAUUCCUUACAUCUAGUUUAGUUCUUGGGCUUGAAGAACAAAACUCAGAUAACGCAUCUUUGUUUCUGCCUUAACUACAUCGACUUUGUUAUUAGUUUAUGAUGGUUGAUAUUUUUUGACAUUCUGGAAUUUGUUUCUGCCCUUUUCUAGUGCUUAUUACAAUUUGCCAAGUUUUAGCUUAUGAUUGUAAGUCUGUUUUUUUGCUUUUGUCUAGUGGGGUAGCACGAAUGCUUCAAAGCAUGUUGACCCUGAACUCUUGUUUUCUUUGCUCAUCCUUUUUAGUAUUCAUGUUCAUUAAAAUGUAAGGAGAAGUAGCUGAAGUUCACUUAGUCGACUGUUCAAUCUUUUUCGAUUUCUGGACACCAAUAUGAAGCUAUUCAUUCAAAAAACCGUAGAUUAGGAACAUUGUUGAAUCCUGAUUUUGAUGUGCUCCAUGUUUUUCUCUGUCAUUUGAAAAUUUUCUACAAAGAAACUUCAAUUAUCAGUUUCAUCAAAGCUGCAAGUUAAGAACAAUAGGAGAUUUCAUUAUACCUUUUAAAAAAUUUCCACAGUAUCUUUGUCCCCUGCUUCCUUCCAGGCAGUCAUCUUGUUGCAUUUAUCUUCUUUGUAUUCAUCAUUCUAAAUCAAGCUCACUCAUACCUGUAAGCAGUCCUAUAUACUUGAUUUUGAAGAAGGUAAGCCAUGUAAUAUAAAUCAUAAGUGUAAGCAAUCAGGAUAACAGCUUGAAAUCUCUUUCUGCAGGUAUAUUUUAGCGAGAAAGGAUACUAACAGAUUAAUUUUGGAUGACUGGAUGUCAAAAUGGCGUGAAGAAUUUUGUGUCUUUCAGCUCCAUAGCAGCUUCAGAGUAAAAGGCUUCCCUUCAGGCAAGAGGUGAAUCGAUUCAGUUGACGACCAAUCAUAGCCUCUUCUUCAUCUUGACUCAGCAGCAUGUGUUCCAAAAUUCUGAUGCCUUUUGAAUAUGAAAUUGGAUCAAAUAUUCAUUACAUCAUUCAGUCACACACUAAAGCUGGAAGUGAGAUCAAGGAAGGUGUCCUCACUGCAAGGAAUUGUGAUGCCGCCCAUGGGAUGAUCGUAUCCAAAUUCUUCUUCAGCUUGACUCAGCAAAUCCAUAAAUGAAGGUUGGUUCAAGUAUGAUAUUGGAAUCACAAAUCGCUUCUUCUGGCUCUCUCCAACAUAGACUGCAAAAUAGCCUUUCGGGAUUUCUAAGGUCUUUGAAGCUGUCUGGUUUCCAUUAGAAAGUGAUCGAAUUAGGCUUCUCUUGGUGUUUGAAAUUCUAGGGAGCCGGAAACCCAUAGUUUCUAUAUUCUUGAGAGGAAGAACAAUGAAAAAUCUUGUAAGGAUGAGGAAACAAGAGUAAGCUUUGAUGUUUAUGAAGGAGAAGACUUGGUUCCUGAUCGAUUAAUUUGUGUGUGUAUAUAUAGAUGAUGAAAGGGUGUGUGGAAGAUCAUCUGCUACACAAAAUGAGUGGUUAAGUUGGCACACUGAUGAGAGACACCAACUUGUUUCAAAUCAAGAAAUCACAUGGGAUUGUCUUGUCCUUCACAUAACUCAUCCCCCAGCAGAUACAUAUGCAACUGUCGUUCUGCUACUUCCUUCAGACUUGUAGUUCUACUCUAAGCUGGUGUGUAGGGUUUCUUUGCAGACAAGAAUUGGUGGAUGACCAAGCCAACCUAACAUGUGGUUUUGCAGCUUCAUGUAUGAUAUCUCUGAUCUCCACUUCCAACAAGCUGAGGAAUUAUUUCAUUUUGUUUAGUCAAGCAACAAAAGUCAGUUGAUGGUCAACCAUGACGAGAAAACAUCCCAAGUAUUGAUUUACAAUGAGUUUCAAGCUAUUUACUCAACUCU